AGAGUUUGAUCCUGGCUCAGGAUGAACGCUGGCGGCGUGCUUAACACAUGCAAGUCGAACGAAGCACUUUAUUUGAUUUCCUUCGGGACUGAUUAUUUUGUGACUGAGUGGCGGACGGGUGAGUAACGCGUGGGUAACCUGCCUUGUACAGGGGGAUAACAGUUGGAAACGGCUGCUAAUACCGCAUAAGCGCACAGCAUCGCAUGAUGCAGUGUGAAAAACUCCGGUGGUAUAAGAUGGACCCGCGUUGGAUUAGCUAGUUGGUGAGGUAACGGCCCACCAAGGCGACGAUCCAUAGCCGACCUGAGAGGGUGACCGGCCACAUUGGGACUGAGACACGGCCCAAACUCCUACGGGAGGCAGCAGUGGGGAAUAUUGCACAAUGGGGGAAACCCUGAUGCAGCGACGCCGCGUGGAGGAAGAAGGUCUUCGGAUUGUAAACUCCUGUUGUUGAGGAAGAUAAUGACGGUACUCAACAAGGAAGUGACGGCUAACUACGUGCCAGCAGCCGCGGUAAAACGUAGGUCACAAGCGUUGUCCGGAAUUACUGGGUGUAAAGGGAGCGCAGGCGGGAAGACAAGUUGGAAGUGAAAUCUAUGGGCUCAACCCAUAAACUGCUUUCAAAACUGUUUUUCUUGAGUAGUGCAGAGGUAGGCGGAAUUCCCGGUGUAGCGGUGGAAUGCGUAGAUAUCGGGAGGAACACCAGUGGCGAAGGCGGCCUACUGGGCACCAACUGACGCUGAGGCUCGAAAGUGUGGGUAGCAAACAGGAUUAGAUACCCUGGUAGUCCACACCGUAAACGAUGAUUACUAGGUGUUGGAGGAUUGACCCCUUCAGUGCCGCAGUUAACACAAUAAGUAAUCCACCUGGGGAGUACGACCGCAAGGUUGAAACUCAAAGGAAUUGACGGGGGCCCGCACAAGCAGUGGAGUAUGUGGUUUAAUUCGAAGCAACGCGAAGAACCUUACCAGGUCUUGACAUCCCGAUGCUAUUUCUAGAGAUAGAAAGUUACUUCGGUACAUCGGUGACAGGUGGUGCAUGGUUGUCGUCAGCUCGUGUCGUGAGAUGUUGGGUUAAGUC
rnacentral:rRNA from 1 species